UAGUGGCGAACGGGUGAGUAACACGUGGGCAAUCUGCCCUUCACUCUGGGACAAGCCCUGGAAACGGGGUCUAAUACCGGAUAUCACUCCUGCAGGCAUCUGUGGGAGUCGAAAGCUCCGGCGGUGAAGGAUGAGCCCGCGGCCUAUCAGCUUGUUGGUGAGGUAGUGGCUCACCAAGGCGACGACGGGUAGCCGGCCUGAGAGGGCGACCGGCCACACUGGGACUGAGACACGGCCCAGACUCCUACGGGAGGCAGCAGUGGGGAAUAUUGCACAAUGGGCGAAAGCCUGAUGCAGCGACGCCGCGUGAGGGAUGACGGCCUUCGGGUUGUAAACCUCUUUCAGCAGGGAAGAAGCGAAAGUGACGGUACCUGCAGAAGAAGCGCCGGCUAACUACGUGCCAGCAGCCGCGGUAAUACGUAGGGCGCAAGCGUUGUCCGGAAUUAUUGGGCGUAAAGAGCUCGUAGGCGGCUUGUCACGUCGGGUGUGAAAGCCCGGGGCUUAACCCCGGGUCUGCAUUCGAUACGGGCUAGCUAGAGUGUGGUAGGGGNAGAUCGGAAUUCCU
rnacentral:rRNA from 1 species